GGAGAGGUCGCAUAGCUUGGUUUAGUGCGCACGCUUGGAAAGCGUGUGACUCACAAGGUCCGAGGGUUCGAAUCCCUCCCUCUCCGCCA
rnacentral:tRNA from 1 species